rnacentral:lncRNA from 1 species
GCACAGAGUUGAACACGACUGAAGCGACUUAGCAGCAGCAGCAGCAGCAGAGUAGUUCAGGAGCUCCGGGGCAAUUUUAUGUGUCACACAAUUUAGAAUCUUAUCAUACACUGCGUCAGAUAGGUGCCUCUGUUUUCAUUGACUCCAGGUGAAACCCAGGCAAGCUGGCAGUAACUGACAGCUUUCCCAGACUAAAGCAAAGUUAUUACUUAAAUGGACAGCCUUUAGCAGGGGAAGGCGGCCACACAGAGCCCAGACCAGCAGUAUAUAAUUGCAACUGAGGUGUCAGAAGAAAAUAUGUACUGAGCAUUUGAAGACCUUAGAAUAAAUGCAAUGACUGGGCUGAAGGCUAAGACCCCACCUCUUAAGCUUCCAUCCCCCCACAGGGCCUCGGAAAGUGCCCAGCACACCACUGACUCUCAAUACUACGGUUCAGCUGUUUGAAAUCAAACAAACCAUGCCUGGGGGCGGAGGGGAGGGGGUGGGAUUCAUUCUUUGAGGUAGGAGGCUGCUGCUCUGGAAUUUCUAGACAGAUUCUCCUAGACAGAUCCGUCAGCCCUGUGGGUGAGAAAAGCAGCCAGGCUUCCUUUGUAUUUCUCAGGGUGGGGCGGGGGAUUUCCACUCCUCUCUGUUAAUAUCACAGAUGCUGCUGUCAAGAAGGACUGGGGGGUGGUAUAGAGACAGUAAUUAAAGGUGUCAUAUUUGGGCUUUGUCUCCAUGGGCCCGGCAGACCUGGCUGGGAAUGAAGGAAUUUUGUUGUUCACCAGAUGCAGGACCAGUGAGGGGGGCCGUGGAGACCACCCCUCAGGUUCCCUCAGGCCAGGGGAGGCCACUGGGAGGCCCUCAAGUGUUCUAACAAAGACGGCAAUGAGAGUGAUAGUAACAAGCAUGAACGCAAACAUCUGUACCAGUGCUUUAUAGGUUUUAAAGGCACUUUUGAGCUCAUACCAUCCUUCCCCCCACACACACAUUUUUAACAUACCAAAUUGGCCAUGAUUUUUUUUUAAAUUUUUAUUUUAUAUUGGAAUAUUGGUGAUUAACAACAUUGUUAGUUUCAGUUGUAUAGUAAAAUGCUUUGGUUAUACAUAUACAUGUAUCUGUUCUUUUUCAGGUUCUUUCAAACACAGUGAGGUAGGCAGAGGAAUACUUACCAGCCUUUGGAAAGACCUAGGAUGUUCUGGGCUGGGGAAGGAGACGG